GCCACAGUAGAAAAAUGGUCAUUUCGUCAGGCUGUGAUCCUGAAAUCCCGAGUUCGAUUCUCGGCUGUGGCA
rnacentral:tRNA from 1 species